rnacentral:rRNA from 1 species
ACUCCUACGGGAGGCAGCAGUGGGGAAUAUUGCACAAUGGGGGAAACCCUGAUGCAGCCAUGCCGCGUGUGUGAAGAAGGCCUUCGGGUUGUAAAGCACUUUCAGUUGUGAGGAAAGGUUGGUAGUUAAUACCUGUCAGCUGUGACGUUAACAACAGAAGAAGCACCGGCUAANCUCGCAGCAGCGCCGGGUAAUACGGAGGGUGCGAGCGUUAAUCGGAAUUACUGGGCGUAAAGCGCACGCAGGCGGCUUGUUAAGCUAGAGGUGAAAGCCCCGCGCUCAACGUGGGAACUGCCUUUAGAACUGGCAGGCUAGAGUCUUGGAGAGGGGAGUGGAAUUCCAGGUGUAGCGGUGAAAUGCGUAGAUAUCUGGAGGAACAUCAGUGGCGAAGGCGGCUCCCUGGCCAAAGACUGACGCUCAUGUGCGAAAGUGUGGGUAGCGAACAGGAUUAGAUACCCUGGUAGGAUAGCGU